GCAAAGGGUCUUAAGUGAAGGUAUCACUCAUAUCAACAUAAUUUGUAACACUCCCUGAUGGUCUAGUGGUUAGGAUUUGGCGCUGUCAACAUAAUUGGUUAAAACACAUGUAACAGUAUAAAAGCAAGGCAUUUACUCAAGUAGCUGACAUGCUAACCUAAGCUUGAUAGAAUUAAAACUGAACUUUUACAAAUUCAAUCCAAUUUUACCUAAGUUGAGAUGAUUAUCUUAAGUAAUAGGAACGAAUACAUGUUGCUUUUUGGAAAUUAAAAAUAUGUAAUACUAGGAGUUCCCAGGCUAGGGGUUGAAUCCGAGCUGUAGCCUCUGGGCUUUGCCAUAGCCACAGCAACAUCAAAUCCAAGCCAUGUCUGCGAGCUGCAUGGCUACACCAUAGCUCAGGGCCGCGCUGGAUCCUUAACCCAUUGAGCAAGUCCAGGGAUCAAACCUGCAUCCUCAUGGAUGCUAGCCAGAUUCCUUUCCACUGAGCCUCAAUGGGAACUCCAUAUUGCCUCUUUUUAUGCUAUGUAUCUUUUUAACAUAUUCCUUGUAUCCUGCUUUAUUCUUAAAAUAUAAAAAUAUAGAUAUUUUAUGUUUUUCAUGGUCUUCAUAAAUAUUUUUGUAGCUGCAUAACAUAUCAGCAAGGGUAGAUUUUAUAUACAAAUUUCCCCAUUGUGGACAUAUAAAUUGUUUCAAAUAUUUUUAGGAUUGUAAAUAAUGCUCAGAUGGAUCAUUUUUCAGUAAAGAUAUCUCCCAAAAGGAAAUAUGCUGCUCUCUAGAUAUAUUUUUAUUAUCUUUUUCUUGUUUAUAUUGAUCUGUAUCAAAAGUUUAAUAUUUUUUACAUUCCUGAAUUAUAUUGCAAAUGUGUUUUCCAAAAUGGUUUGCCAAUUUACAUUUCUGUAUGUAGCAUUCAGUGUCCUCAUUGAACUGAAUCCCUGAGAGCAUUAAAAUUCUAGCAGUAUUAAAAUGUUUUUUCAACCAUUACUAGUUUUGCAAACAAAAAAUAGAAUCUUACUUUACUUUUAAUUAACAUUCCUUUUAGCAAGCAUUUUAAUGUUUUUUAGACAAUAUUUUUUUUUGAGUUGCUUAUUGCUGUUCUGAGAUGAGUUGUAUCCUAAAUUCCUGCGUUGAAGUCCUCACCCCUUAUACCUCAAAAUGUGACUGUAUUUGGAGAUAAGGACUUUAAAGAGAUAGUAAGGGAAAAUGAGGUCAUAUGGGUGGGUCCUAAUUCAAUAUGACUAGUAUCCUUAUACAAAGAGAUUAGGACACAGGAAGCACGAAGACCAAGAGAGAACCAUGUAGGACACAGAAAGAAAGCAUCCAUCUUUACGCAGAGGAGAGAGAUCCCAGAAGAAACCCAACCUGCCAGCAGCUAGAUCUCAGACUUCUGGCUUCUAGAACUGUGAGAUAAUAAAUUUCUGUUCCUUAAACCAUUCAGCCUGUAGUAUUUUGUUAUAGCACCUCUAGCAAAAUAAAACAGUGUUUCUUGCCAAUUUAUUUAUUAGGGUCUUAGAGCGUUUCUUCUUCAUUUGUACAGACUCUUUAAAAAAACUUUUUUUGGAGUAUAGUUAACUUACAAUGUUGUAUUAGUUUCACGUGUACAGCAAAGUCAACCAGUUUAUAUAUAGAGAGAGAGAAAGAGAGAGAGAGGGAGAGAGAAUCUAUUUAUCUAGAGAUCAUAUGAAUUAAUAUACAUAAAUUCAUUCUUUUAUCUGUAUAGCUUAUUACAAGCUAUAGAGUAGAUUUCCCUGUGCUUUGCAGUAGAUUCUUAUUGAGUGAAAUAAAUCAGACAGAGAAGGAUAAAUAUUGUAUGAUAUUGCUUAUAUGUAGAAUCUAAUAAAAAUUAUACAAAAUAACUUAUAAAACAAAACAAACUCACACAUUUCAAAACCAAUCUUAUGGUGACCAUAGGGAAAAUAGAAACAAACUUACAGCUUUCAAAACCACUCCUACGGUUACCAUAGGGGAAACCAUUGGGGGUGGGGGAGGGGAUUAGGAGAGUGGGAAUAACACAUACAAGCUCUUUUUAUGUUAAACAUAUUUAUGUAUUUAUUGUUUCCUUUUUGCACUUCUUACAAAGUGAUUCUUUGGUUUUUCCAUGUUUUCCUCUUUUUUUAGCUUACAACAUGUGUGUAUUUAAUUUUUUCCCAUAAUUAUUCAUCUUUUCUAUAUGCUUUUCUUCCUGGUACUUCAAAGCCUGAAAAGUCUUUUUCCUUUAAGUGAUUUUAUACACUGUCAGUUCUAGUUUUUGUUAGUUUUUCUGUGACUUGAAGUUGACCUGUAUAAUAUAACUAUUCUCCAUGUUUGAGAAUGCAGACUUACAAAAGUUGGUGAAUUUCAAAUGUACAGAGCAAAGCUUUCUUUAAGAUUUUUAUGUCAUGCCCAGAACCCAGUCUUCUUUAUUUGAAAUGACCUAUUUAAGAUAACAGUUAUUUUCAGUGGCUUUUACUUCAUUUUGAAAACCUGCAUUGUAAAAUGGAACAAUAACCUCAUUUUUUAAAUCUUCAAUUUUGUUAAGAUCAACUGUUAUAAAGACAAAGAACCUCAAGACAAAGAAUGGCUACAGUUCUCUGAAAUCUGUUCAGUGUCUGAAGUUCUACUGAAAUCUUUCAAGUUAAGGACAUGAUGUCUUGUAAGAUGAAAAAAAAUAUUUCCUCCUGCUUUUUCUUGUUUUCAUUUGUGAUUCUGGUGCUAAGAAAAAAUUUAUUCUUUUAUGGAUUGUUUUUUCCAAAGUUUCUGCUUCUUUCUUUUUUUUCCUGUGAAGAUCUUUCUAGAACUUGUUUAGAAAUAUUCAUUUUAUUUCUUUGUUUUUGCUCUCAGGCCCCAUUAAAAAGGCCAUCUCUUCAAGACACUGAUAGUUCUUUUGUUGGUGGUGUUCAUUUCAAAAUAUAAAACUGUCUUGACUUGUGAGCUAAAAUUAUCUGACAAUUAUGGAAUUUAUCCUGAGUUGAACUGUCUUAUGUUAGUGCAGAAUAGUAAAAAAAAAAAAAAAAAAA
ensembl:lncRNA